GGAGGGUGCGAGCGUUGUCCGGAUUUAUUGGGUUUAAAGGGUGCGUAGGUGGCUUUAUAAGUCAGUGGUGAGAUACGGUUGCUCAACAAUCGAGGUGCCAUUGAUACUGCAAAGCUUGAAAUAAUUGGAGGCUGCCGGAAUGGAUGGUGUAGCGGUGAAAUGCAUAGAUAUCAUCCAGAACACCGAUUGCGAAGGCAGGUGGCUACGAUUUGUUUGACACUGAGGCACGAAAGCAUGGGGAGCAAACAGGAUUAGAUACCCUGGUAGUCCAUGCUGUAAACGAUGAGGACUCGCUGUUUGAUGGCAACAUUGAGCGGCUUAGGGAAACCGUUAAGUCCUCCACCUGGGGAGUACGCCGGCAACGGUU
rnacentral:rRNA from 1 species